GAUUUUCAAAACCUGUUAAUUAUCAGCUUUAUUUUCUUUGAAAAUACACAAAUAUUUUGAAACGUAGAUGUUUAAGAUUAUUGGAUUUUUAAAACUCUACACAGACACACCAAUGAAAUUCAUACCAAAUGAAUCACUCCAGACUCCUAAGUUCAUGUACUAACUUAACUCCACGAUAUUCAGGAUAAAUGAUUACUACUAUGAACACUUAAAACAAAAACAACCAACAAUCGUAUUAUGCUGCUCUAAGUUGAACAACCAGUGUGUGGGUGACUGAUACAAAGAAUUUCAGUGGCAAACUUAGAAAUCCCUUAAAAAACAGAUGUGAACAGAGAGUGAGUUGAUGCAACCAUUCUACAUCUGGGAAAAAUAUUCUCCUUGUGAAUUCUAGCAAUGGAUAAAAUACUGUGUUUUAGAGCAGGACCACUCCUAGCAUUGUGACUUCAGCCAGACCUUCAAGGUUCAGGUCAGGCAGACAAGAGGAAGGCUUCAGGCAGGGGAACGGAUGAACUCCAGAAUGGGAUUAAGUUGUCAAAUGCCAGAACAGUGAAGCCUGCUUACAUGGAACACAGUUACAGGUCAGAACAAUGGGAAUUAAAAGGAAAAUACUUAAAAAGUUAGGACAUACUCCCAACACAUGUGCGCCAUCAAAUCAUAGGGGAGUUGAAAUUAUUCUGGAUUGAGGUCCAGUCUGAAAAAAAAAUCACAACAGCAAGAAUCUGGAGAGCAAGACACACACACCUCAGGUUGGUGGAG
rnacentral:lncRNA from 1 species